UACGUAGGGGGCUAGCGUUGUCCGGAAUCAUUGGGCGUAAAGCGCGCGUAGGCGGCCCGGUAAGUCCGCUGUGAAAGUCAAAGGCUCAACCUUUGAAUGUCAGCGGAUACUGCCGGGCUAGAGUCCGGAAGAGGCGAGUGGAACUCCUGGUGUAGCGGUGGAAUGCGCAGAUAUCAGGAGGAACACCAAUAGCGAAGGCAGCUCGCUGGGACGGUAUUGACGCUAAGGCGCGAAAGCGUGGGGAGCAAACAGG
rnacentral:rRNA from 1 species